rnacentral:rRNA from 1 species
GACGAACGCUGGCGGCGUGCCUAAUACAUGCAAGUAGAACGCUGAAGGAGGAGCUUGCUCUUCUGGAUGAGUUGCGAACGGGUGAGUAACGCGUAGGUAACCUGCCUGGUAGCGGGGGAUAACUAUUGGAAACGAUAGCUAAUACCGCAUAAGAGUAGAUGUUGCAUGACAUUUGCUUAAAAGGUGCAAUUGCAUCACUACCAGAUGGACCUGCGUUGUAUUAGCUAGUUGGUGGGGUAACGGCUCACCAAGGCGACGAUACAUAGCCGACCUGAGAGGGUGAUCGGCCACACUGGGACUGAGACACGGCCCAGACUCCUACGGGAGGCAGCAGUAGGGAAUCUUCGGCAAUGGACGGAAGUCUGACCGAGCAACGCCGCGUGAGUGAAGAAGGUUUUCGGACCGUAAAGCUCUGUUGUAAGAGAAGAACGAGUGUGAGAGUGGAAAGUUCACACUGUGACGGUAGCUUACCAGAAAGGGACGGCUAACUACGUG